GUAGGAUAGAAAUAAAUCGUAUUAGUUAAAAGUUAUAUGGAGGAGUUAAGAGAAUAGUUAAUUUUAUAGGUAAAAUUUGUUAAAUUAAAUAUUUCUUAUAAUAGGAGGUUGAAGCUUUGAAAGUUAGAGUUGAAACUAGGAUUAGAUACCCUAUUAUUUUAAUUGUAAAGGAGGAAACUUGAGUAGUAUUAGUUAAGUGCUUGAAACUCAAAGAAUUUGGCGGUGUCUUAGUCUUUUCAGAGGAAUCUGUCCUAUAAUCGAUAUUACACGUUAAAUGUUACUUAAUUUGGUAUAGUCAAUUUGUAUACCGCCGUCGUAAGAUCAUCUUUUUAGAGAAAGAAUUUUCUUAAUAUUAUAAGAUAAUAUGUCAGGUCAAGGUGCAGUUUAUAGUUAAGUGGGAGAUGGAUUACAAUAAAUUUAUUUAAAUGGAUUUUCUAUUGAAAAGUAGAGAUGAAGGUGGAUUUGAAGGUAAUUUUGUUAAAUUAUGAUAAAAUGAUUUWAGCUCUGGGACAUGUACACAUCGCCCGUCGCUCUCGUUAUUAAGAUGAGAUAAGUCGUAACAUAGUAGUCGUACUGGAAAGUGUGGCUAUAAAGUCAA
rnacentral:rRNA from 1 species